rnacentral:misc_RNA from 1 species
GAUGAAGAACGUAGCGAAAUGAGAUAAGUAGUGUGAAUUGCAGAAUUCAGUGAAUCAUCGAAUCUUUGAACGCACAUUGCGCCCCCUGGUAUUCCGGGGGGCAUGCCUGUCCGAGCGUCAUUACAACCCUCAAGCUCAGCUUGGUGUUGGGCCCCGCCGCCCCGGCGGGCCCUAAAGUCAGUGGCGGUGCCGUCCGGCUCCGAGCGUAGUAAUUCUUCUCGCUCUGGAGGUCCGGUCGUGUGCUCGCCAGCAACCCCCAAUUUUUUUCAGGUUGACCUCGGAUCAGGUAGGGAUACCCGCUGAACUUAAGCAUAUCAAUAAGCGGAGGA